CCGGCGCUAAGGGGUGCUAAUGCUAAACCCAACAUGAACGAAAAUGCCCGUGCGUUGUGUGAAAUGGUGGAAAAAGUCCUAUUUCACGGAGUUACUUUUUCAGUAUCGUUUUGAUAUCAAGCAAUGUCCCGGCGGAAAACAACAGAUGACACCGCGGCGGUCCAACAAGGCCGAACUCACGACCUGAAAAAUGGCUAAGCCUUAACAGCCAGGCCUCAGACCACGGUGUCGAGGCGCUCUUACGGAGUCCACCAGGACGAAGUGAAAUUCAGUAAGUUAUGAUUUCACAUUUAGUCAAUAGUGAACACUCGCAUAUUUAUAAGGAAAACUGAUCUUCCGGUUAUUUUAUUUAUUUUGUUAUAAAGUAGUAUAGUAAGGCAGAGUGUGGUAAGCAGUAGAGAUCGACAACAUGGCGGACGGAGGACGGAUAUAAGGACGGUGCCAUGAAGCCGACACUCCACAGAAUGGGAGUCACAUUUGUG